UGUGUGUGUGUGUGUGUGUGUGUGUGUGUGUGUGUGUGUGUGUGUUACAAAGUUUGUGUGUGUGUGUGUGUGUUUUAGUAGUAGUAAUAGCAGCAGUAACAGUAGCAGUAAUAGUAAUAAUAGGAGUAACAGUAGUAGUAGUAGUAAGUCGACCGGGUGCACAUCCGACGAGGGCAGGUCCUAAAGUGACAAACAACGACGCAUAUCUUUUCUCCUGGUUGGGAAAAACCGAGGGGACAAUUUGUACAAUUAUCGGUAUUAUAAUAUAGUAAAUUCCUGACUUACUCCCUCUCCCUCCCUCCCCCACACUCCCGCUGUACUCCCACUCCUCUCGUCCAUUCUCUCACACUCUCUCUCUCUCUCUCUCUCUCUCAGCAUUAUCUGUUUCGUUUAGAUUAUUAGAUUUAUCGUUUCCUCAGACUUAUUCGUAUAUAUGCCUAGCAGCGACGAUUAACUUCUAAUAUUUAUUUUACGUUGUUUAUAGUAAAAUCAACGCCGAGUGUAUCGUCGAUUAAAAAUUUUGUACGUUUUAUAUUCACGAACGUCGUAGUACUUUGGUGUGCUAGUGGUGGGCAGCCCCGAAAAUUUUGUCAGCUCUUGUUAAUUACUGUUAAUUACUAACGGAACAAAAACUUAAUUACGAUAAUAUUUGCGAUUCAUUUUUCCUCUCUUUUUCAUUUAAAUACAUUCCGCGUAGCUUAUUGCUGUUUCGCCAACUCGAUAAUUGCACGUUUCGAGCGAAUCUCGAAGGUUUUAAAAAAGUAGAAAUAUAAUAAAUAAUAAAUUUUGAUGCACCUGGCUAAUAUAGUUAAUUCUCUGAACGUGCUAAAAAUGUUUGCUGAGAAAGACUCUCGAAUUUUUAAUAAAAUUGCGACGGUAAGAAAAGGGCCAGUCCUCGCGAAGGACUUAAAAUUGCUCGAAGGGUGGCGCCAUCUACACUAGCCGCCAUUUUUUCACCCCACGGUGCGUGUCACCGACUGGGGCAAAUGUCCAGCAAUCGAUUAUCGCGCGAUGAAAAUUCUCAGGGUUCCUUUACAAACGUUAUGUACAAUUCAAUUUUCAAAAGAAAAAAAAAAUAAUAAGAGAGAACAACAGCAAAAAACAACCGUGCCGUUCGCGUGUAACCGAAAAAAAUAACAUGUAAACUGCUAUAACAAAGUAUAAUCAUUUAACUUUAUUUAUAAUAAUCUUCAGCGUAUAAGCUUCCUCCGUUUUCGUUUUUUUACUUUUCUUUUUUUUCUACAGCUUCCAAUAAAUUAAACGACCUCCAUCUUGAUUAAUAACAAGAACCUUCGUCUCAAUCACACACACUCGCUUUCUCUAUCGCUCUCGCAGGGCCGACGUUGCCUCCAAUAAGAAAAUACCGUUUCAACCGUCGGUUCGGCUGAUUACAAACGCAGACCGUGUUUAUAAUUGUUUUUCCUCUUAUUUGUAAGGUCAACGAGAGAGGUGACUGCGUUCACGGUGACCUAAUCUGACCCACGUGACCUAAUUUGAUACGUGAUUGGUAUUAUUCCUUAAAUAAAUAUUCGAUUGCAAAAAUUAAUCGAAUGAAAUUACGAAUAAAAGCUCAAAAUCAAAUCGAAUCGAAUGAAAUUCAUUCUGCCUCGAGUAAAAUAGUCGAAUAAACGUUGCGAAUAAAUUGAAACCAUUCAAGAACAACGAAUAACCUUUCUCAUAACCUUCCUCGAAUAAAUCGAUGAAUGAAACCAUUAUUCGUCGCUCUCGAAUAAAUAAUCGAAUAAACGUUGCGAAUAAAUUGAAAUCAUUCAAGAACAACGAAUAACCUUUCUCAUAACCUUCCUCGAAUAAAUCGAUGAAUGAAAUCAUUAUUCGUCGCUCUCGAAUAAAUAAUCGAAUAAACGUUGCGAAUAAAUUGAAAUCAUUCAAGAACAACGAAUAACCUUUCUCAUAACCUUUCUCGAAUAAAUCGAUGAAUGAAAUCGUUAUUCGUCGCUCUCGAAUAAACGAAGACGUCUUAUUCGUUACUCACGAAUAAACACGUCGAUACUUUAUUCGUUAUUCAAGAAUAAAUCUGUGACGUUUUGUUCGGUUAUUCGCAAAUCAAGCUUUGCUGACAGCUCUGUAUAACAAUCGAACGCGAUUAAUGGAAUUUUCGUACCUCGUUAUUCGUCACCGUGAACGCGAAUAAAUUGCGUCGAAUAAUUGUCUAUGUACACACAGGCAAAGGAGACACCUAGGAGAAACGGACAGAUCAGGGUACCCCGAGCGGACAAACAGACAGACAAGAGAGAUCGUGGCACGAUCGCGCGUCUACGGUACCGUUAACCCCUCGCGGUCGUACGUCGAGCGUGGCUCGACAUCAGUGGGGCGUCAGAAUAUCUGGACCACAAAGGAUUAAACAACAUGCGUGGCGCGUGUGACUUUUAUGUUCGGCGUGUGUGUAUGUGUGUGUACGCGUGUAUGUGUGCGUGUGUGCUUGUGUGUCUGAUUGUAUGCAACGUGUGGCUCGACACGUUUUAAAGGAGUAUUAUAGUUGUUCCUUAAAAAAACACAGAAACUCGAGUUGGCAGUAUCAUGAACAAAUCGCUCGCUCUACCUCGUCGAAUGGCAAAUUCGAAAUCGAGCGAGCGCGCAAGUGUGUGUAUAUAAUAAUAUAUUUUUUAUCUGUUAUUUUUUUUCCAUUUUCUUUCCGCUUCUCUUUUACGCAUCGUUUUGUUGGUUUUGUCUUCCGUUUUGUUUCUUUUCGUCCUCUUCGGUUCAUCCUUGACAUCUCUGUGUCGUCUGCGCACGCGCGUGGUAGUGUCUUCGUUUCUUCAUCUUCUUCUUUUUUCCUCUUCCCUAUUUUGUAUAAUAAUCGUCCUUUUUUUUUCUCUUUUUCUUUUUUUUUUCAGCGGUUAGCGUCGAAUGGGCGCGGGGAAAUAAACGGCUACGACAUUUAAGACAAUGAGAAAAUCGACGUCAACGGUUAACGCCAUUGGCAGUGAUCGUAGAAUUACGUGUUUUCCUUUUUUUUUUCCCUCCGUUUUUGUUUAUUUUAUUUCUUUUCUUUUGUCUGUGUUCCGUGACUUUGCAUGUCGCGUUGUGUUUGUGUUUGUGUGUCUGUCCGUGUACGGUUUCUCCCUCCCUCGCUUUGCCAUCCAUUUUGCUCCCUCCUUUCACUCCCCACCCCCACUCUUCUCUCUCGCUCUCUCUCUCUCUUUCUCACACACACAUACGCACGUUUCUUUUGCUUUCAUUCUGUCGUUCCCUCGCCGAGUAACGUAUGACCGGUUUUUCAUUUGUCGAAGUAUGCGGUUCACCUUGAUUCCUGAGCGUCUCGACGUGAAACCUGCAGAACGCGAUUGUGGGGGGGACGGGGGCGAGGGGACUUGCUCCAGGCGGU